rnacentral:rRNA from 1 species
UGGGGAAUAUUGCACAAUGGGCGCAAGCCUGAUGCAGCCAUGCCGCGUGUAUGAAGAAGGCCUUCGGGUUGUAAAGUACUUUCAGCGAGGAGGAAGGCGUUGUGGUUAAUAACCGCAACGAUUGACGUUACUCGCAGAAGAAGCACCGGCUAACUCCGUGCCAGCAGCCGCGGUAAUACGGAGGGGGCAAGCGUUAAUCGGAAUUACUGGGCGUAAAGCGCACGCAGGCGGUCGGUCAAGUCGGAUGUGAAAUCCCCGGGCUCAACCUGGGAACUGCAUCCGAAACUGGCAGGCUAGAGUCUUGUAGAGGGGGGUAGAAUUCCAGGUGUAGCGGUGAAAUGCGUAGAGAUCUGGAGGAAUACCGGUGGCGAAGGCGGCCCCCUGGACAAAGACUGACGCUCAGGUGCGAAAGCGUGGGGAGCAAACA